rnacentral:rRNA from 1 species
CCUACGGGGGGCUGCAGUGAGGAAUAUUGGUCAAUGGGCGCAAGCCUGAACCAGCCAAGCAGCGUGAAGGAUGACUGCCCUACGGGUUGUAAACUUCUUUUAUAAAGGAGUAAAGUGAGACACGUGUGCCUUUUUGUAUGUACUUUAUGAAUAAGGAUCGGCUAACUCCGUGCCAGCAGCCGCGGUAAUACGGAGGAUCCGAGCGUUAUCCGGAUUUAUUGGGUUUAAAGGGAGCGUAGCUGGUUUGUUAAGUCAGUGGUGAAAGUUUGGGGCUCAACCUUAAAAUUGCAAUUGAUACUGUCAGCCUUGAGUACAGUUGAGGUAGGCGGAAUUCGUGGUGUAGCGGUGAAAUGCUUAGAGAUCACGAAGAACACCGAUUGCGAAGGCAGCUUACUAAACUGCCACUGACAUUGAGGCUCGAAAGUGUGGGGAUCAAACAGGAUUAGAUACCCUAGUAGUC